GGAUAUAUAGCUCAAGUGGCAGAGCGCAUGCUUAGCAUACAUAAGGUCCUGGGAUCAAUCCCCAGUACCUCCU
rnacentral:tRNA from 1 species